UACGGAGGGGGCUAGCGUUAUUCGGAAUUAUUGGGCGUAAAGUGCACGUAGGCGGAUCUGUAAGUCAGAGGUGAAAUCCCAGGGCUCAACCUUGGAACUGCCUUUGAAACUGCGGGACUUGAGUUCGAGAGAGGUGAGUGGAAUUCCGAGUGUAGAGGUGAAAUGCGUAGAUAUUCGGAGGAACACCAGUGGCGAAGGCGGCUCACUGGCUCGAUACUGACGCUGAGGUGCGAAAGCGUGGGGAGCAAACAGG
rnacentral:rRNA from 1 species